rnacentral:rRNA from 1 species
UCCGCCCGCUGGCGGCGUGCCUAAUACAUGCAAGUUGAGCGCUGAAGGUUGGUACUUGUACCAACUGGAUGAGCAGCGAACGGGUGAGUAACGCGUGGGGAAUCUGCCUUUGAGCGGGGGACAACAAUUGGAAACGAAUGCUAAUACCGCAUAAAAACUUUAAACACAAGUUUUAAGUUUGAAAGAUGCAAUUGCAUCACUCAAAGAUGAUCCCGCGUUGUAUUAGCUAGUUGGUGAGGUAAAGGCUCACCAAGGCGAUGAUACAUAGCCGACCUGAGAGGGUGAUCGGCCACAUUGGGACUGAGACACGGCCCAAACUCCUACGGGAGGCAGCAGUAGGGAAUCUUCGGCAAUGGACGAAAGUCUGACCGAGCAACGCCGCGUGAGUGAAGAAGGGUUUCGGAUCGUAAAACUCUGUUGGUAGAGAAGAACGUUGGUGAGAGUGGAAAGCUCAUCAAGUGACGGUAACUACCCAGAAAGGGACGGCUAACUACGUG